AUUGAACGCUGGCGGCGUGCCUAAUACAUGCAAGUCGAACGCUUCUUUCCUCCCGAGUGCUUGCACUCAAUUGGAAAGAGGAGUGGCGGACGGGUGAGUAACACGUGGGUAACCUACCCAUCAGAGGGGGAUAACACUUGGAAACAGGUGCUAAUACCGCAUAACAGUUUAUGCCGCAUGGCAUAAGAGUGAAAGGCGCUUUCGGGUGUCGCUGAUGGAUGGACCCGCGGUGCAUUAGCUAGUUGGUGAGGUAACGGCUCACCAAGGCCACGAUGCAUAGCCGACCUGAGAGGGUGAUCGGCCACACUGGGACUGAGACACGGCCCAGACUCCUACGGGAGGCAGCAGUAGGGAAUCUUCGGCAAUGGACGAAAGUCUGACCGAGCAACGCCGCGUGAGUGAAGAAGGUUUUCGGAUCGUAAAACUCUGUUGUUAGAGAAGAACAAGGACGUUAGUAACUGAACGUCCCCUGACGGUGUCUAACCAGAAAGCCACGGCUAACUACGUGCCAGCCGCCGCUGUAA
rnacentral:rRNA from 1 species